rnacentral:tRNA from 1 species
AAUUAAUGAUCUUGUAUAAGUUUAUAUUUUGAAAAUAUAAUAAAUAAAUUAAAAUUUUAUAUUAAUUU